GAUGAACGCUGGCGGCGUGCUUAGCACAUGCAAGUCGAACGAAGCACUUAUGACAGAUUCUUCGGAUGAUGGAUUAAGUGACUGAGUGGCGGGCGGGUGAGUAACGCGUGGGUAACCUGCCUCAUACAGGGGGAUAACAGUUAGAAAUGACUGCUAAUACCGCAUAAGCGCACAAUACCGCAUGGUAUGGUGUGAAAAACUCCGGUGGUAGGAGAUGGACCCGCGUCUGAUUAGCUAGUUGGUGGGGUAACGGCCUACCAAGGCGACGAUCAGUAGCCGGCCUGAGAGGGUGAACGGCCACAUUGGGACUGAGACACGGCCCAAGCUCCUACGGGAGGCAGCAGUGGGGAAUAUUGCACAAUGGGGGAAACCCUGAUGCAGCGACGCCGCGUGAGUGAAGAAGUAUUUCGGUAUGUAAAGCUCUAUCAGCAGGGAAGAAAAUGACGGUACCUGACUAAGAAGCACCGGCUAAAUACGUGCCAGCCGCCGCAGUAAAAC
rnacentral:rRNA from 1 species